rnacentral:tRNA from 1 species
GCUGAGAUGUCCGAGCGGUCUAAGGAGCUGGAUUCAAGUGACGUCGUGUGACCACUUCCGCCGUCAGGUGGACUUCCCAGUAGGGCAACCUGCGGGGGUUCGAAUCCCCCUCUCAGCA